rnacentral:rRNA from 1 species
GAUGAACGCUGGCGGCGUGCCUAAUACAUGCAAGUCGAGCGAACAGACGAGGAGCUUGCUCCUCUGACGUUAGCGGCGGACGGGUGAGUAACACGUGGAUAACCUACCUAUAAGACUGGGAUAACUUCGGGAAACCGGAGCUAAUACCGGAUCAUAUAUUGAACCGCAUGGUUCAAUAGUGAAAGACGGUUUUGCUGUCACUUAUAGAUGGAUCCGCGCCGCAUUAGCUAGUUGGUAAGGUAACAGCUUACCAAGGCAACGAUGCGUAGCCGACCUGAGAGGGUGAUCGGCCACACUGGAACUGAGACACGGUCCAGACUCCUACGGGAGGCAGCAGUAGGGAAUCUUCCGCAAUGGGCGAAAGCCUGACGGAGCAACGCCGCGUGAGUGAUGAAGGUCUUCGGAUCGUAAAACUCUGUUAUUAGGGAAGAACAAAUGUGUAAGUAACUAUGCACGUCUUGACGGUACCUAAUCAGAAAGCCACGGCUAACUACGUG